rnacentral:lncRNA from 1 species
AGCAGAUUCUAUUAGCUUCAGGUAACAGGCAAUUAUGUGCUUUAAGAGAGAACCCCUCUCCCAGGAAGUGAACGUGAUUGGCACACCAACUGGGAUUUACCAUGAGCAUGUGAUGCUUAGGCUACGGCAGCCAUCUUGGUACCCUGAGAAGAGUCACCCUAAGAGAAGAUGCCAGCAUUCUAGGAAAAGCAGGGCGGGGAUGGAGAAAAAAUCCAGGGCCUGGAUGACAUUGCUGAGCUGCUGAGUUAACCUAGAACUAUCCUAACUCAAGAUUUCUCUUUAUAAGGUAAUAUAUUUCCUUAUAUUUAGAUCAUUUGAAAUUUGAUUUUUGGUUACCCUGCCUGAAAUGUGGUAACUGAUAAGGCUUUUCAAUUUCAGGUUUGUUGAUAGGGGUUUCUUUUUCCUGGUAUAAUAUAUGAUAUGUGUAUACGUGUCUGUGCAUGUAUGUGCUUAAGGGAUAAAGGAAAGAGAAAGGUGUCUCUAUUCAUCCUUAGAAAGUUAGAAGUUUAGUGCAAAUUUUUAAAGUAUAAAGGAAAACGGCAGAUUAAUUUUGAAAAUAAGAAAUUAAGAACAGGGAAAGGACAAGUGUUAUGCAGUUGAAUGGGCAUAUGCUCAGGAAGGGUGUGUGUGUGUGUGUGUGUGUGUCUGUGUCUGUGUGUGUCUGUGUGUGCAUGUGUGAGUGUGCAUAUGUGUGUUCCCUAUUUCUCCAUAUGUUUUAUUUUCA